rnacentral:rRNA from 1 species
CUACGGGUUGCUGCAGUCGAGAAUAGUCUACAAUGGACGAAAGUCUGAUAGUGCGACGCCGCGUGGAUGAAGAAGCAUUUCGGUGUGUAAAGUCCUUUUCUGUGUGAGCAAUGUUUUCCAGGUUAAUAGCUUGGAGAAAGCGAUAUUAACACAGGAAUAAGCUCCGGCUAACUCCGUGCCAGCAGCCGCGGUAACACGGGGGGAGCAAGCGUUGUCCGGAAUUACUAGGCGUGAAGGGUAAGUAGGCGGAAUUGUAAGUCAGAUGUUAAAGGCACCGGCUCAGCCGGUGUAUGGCAUUUGAUACUGUAAUUCUAGAGUAAGGUGGGGGAAGACGGAAUUCCUGGUGUAGCGGUGGAAUGCGCAGAUAUCAGGAGGAACACCAGAGGCGCAGGCGGUCUUCUAUACCAUUACUGACGCUCAAUUACGAAGGUGUGGGUAUCAAACAGGAUUAGAUACCCGAGUAGUC